UACCGAGUCCCGACAUGCUCUGUCGUCUGAUCUUGUCAAAAGGUUUAAUUGCCUAAUUUGCGUGUACCAAACGCCGUCGUAUCCUCUCUCGAUCACACAGUCUUCAAAUAUUAGUAUCCAGUCGCCUCGUUUAGCCACGCAAAAAAUAUAAAAAUUUUGCAUUGACGAAAGAAAAAGAUAAAAAUUACAAAGAAAAAUGGAGAGUAAUACUAACAGCAUUACGUGCUCCGGCGAUCGGCCGACGGUGAUGGUGACCAACGAUGACGGAAUUGAUGCUCCCGGCUUGCGUGCUCUCGUAAGCGUCCUCGUCUCUUC
rnacentral:lncRNA from 1 species